rnacentral:tRNA from 1 species
CGCGGAGUAGAGCAGUCCAGUAGCUCGCCAGGCUCAUGCCCUGGAGGUCGAGGGUGCGAAUCCUUCCUCCGCUA